GUGGGGAAUAUUGCACAAUGGGGGAAACCCUGAUGCAGCAACGCCGCGUGAGUGAAGAAGUAUUUCGGUAUGUAAAGCUCUAUCAGCAGGGAAGAGAAUGACGGUACCUGACUAAGAAGCCCCGGCUAACUACGUGCCAGCAGCCGCGGUAAUACGUAGGGGGCGAGCGUUAUCCGGAUUUACUGGGUGUAAAGGGAGCGUAGACGGCGAUGCAAGUCUGAAGUGAAAGCCCGCGGCUCAACCGCGGAACCGCUUUGGAAACUGUGUAGCUGGAGUGCUGGAGAGGUAAGCGGAAUUCCUGGUGUAGCGGUGAAAUGCGUAGAUAUCAGGAGGAACACCGGUGGCGAAGGCGGCUUACUGGACAGUAACUGACGUUGAGGCUCGAAGGCGUGGGGAGCAAACAGGA
rnacentral:rRNA from 1 species